rnacentral:rRNA from 1 species
UCCAACUGAAGCUAAGCAGGGUUGAGCCUGGACAGUACCUGGAUGGGAGACCUCCUGGGGAAAAAUAAGGUGCUGCUGGAA